UUCUAUUCUCUCUAUCUAUCAUUCUCGCUUUCUCCUUCGCUGUCUUUCUCCCGAUGCGUUUCAUGGCGUCUGUUUCAUAUUUCGUCCGUUAUUCUAGAAAGACAGUUGGGCGAGCUGUCUUUUGAUGUUGUCGAGGCGAAUUUGCGUCUCGGUUUCAAUCCUUGGUAGACAUAAUGUGACACCACCAGAACUCAAAACGCUAGAACUCAAAACAUUUUAUUCCUUUCUAUUAUUUUCUUCUUUUGUUCUGUUUUUAUUUAUUGGUCCACGCCUGAAAGUGGAUUUUGGCACCACAGACCAACAGGAUUACUCGUGAACAUUACUGUGCAUCUGCUAUUUGCUUCCGUCCAUUACACAACAGUAACUACAAAGAACUUCGGACCAACUAAACGGACCAACGCUUCUUCUGAACAUAUGGGAACAUAACGUAGACAAGGCAGUGAAGGGCAGUUCAGAGUAGUGCAGAGUAGUGCAGGGCAAGCAAAGCACAUAGCAGAGCUGGCGGAGUCGAACUACCGACUUGUUGAUGGAUUGUUCUAUAUACUAUGGACUCGGUCCACCUAAUUUUUACUUUACCUUAAUAGAGUACCUUUCCAGAUAUUCAGUAUUCAAGGAAAACUGUAAAUGUGUUAUGAACGAAUUAAUGCCAGAUCCAUUUGCGUGGCAAACCUUUUAAAUGUUCCUUAAAUAAUUUACUAAAACACAGCUGCAUCAACUACAUUUUUACCUGUUAACAAAGAGAACGGCGAACGUAUACCUAACAAACAGUACCCAAUCCAAUUUUCUUUUGCUUUUAUUUUAUUUUAUUUCGCUGUCAGGUAUUGAUAUUGAGACUGUUUGUCAGCUCCCUGCUCAUCCCCGAUUAGUGCUAUACCUUUUGCGGGUUUUUUUUUUUUUUUUGAAGUAUCACCUUGCUCUAGCUUAGAUUUUGUCAGCUAAUAUUUUGUUUAUACAUUAUCACUUUACAAAUCCGAUCGAUAUUUGCUUUUCGUCAUAGAACCUACAGCAAAAGUAGAAGUAAAAUUAACAAGAAUAACAACAACGACAGCAGCGAUAACAAGAUCAACAACUAUAACAAUUAUCAAAAUGAUGAUGUAGCAAUCAAUACUCAACUGAAGAGUGAAGCAGACUACGUUCAUACAAACGAGCAGAUAUUAUAAAAUUAAGUGUUACUAUAUCUCUAGAGAGAAAGAGAGAGAGAGAAACCUCGAGCCAAAUCACGCAAAA